CUUUGUCCGGUAAUAAUACAUAUUCUAUUUUUACAAAAUAUUCCUAAUUUGUCGCCGAGUUCUUGAAUGUAGCAUUACGUCCCUUCCGGAAUACAAUUCCCUCGCAAACAUGGCGGCGACCUUGUGUGGAAAAUUAUUUCCUCCAAAAGGAUGGCUCCCCCGGAUGCAGAGCAUUCGCCACGGCUCCAAAGCUGUCACCCGCCACAGGAAACCGAUGCACUUCCUUAAACAGAAGCUGCUAGCUGUGACAAAGUACAUUCCCCCGAAACCGGCUGCCCCCCCAGGCGCGUAUCCACGAGAAACACCCGUGGUCCAGGAGCAGGAGAGUCCCUUGAUGAGACUGCUGACGCGAGACGUGGAGGGGGUCUUCCGCGACUGCAAGAUGGUCGCCGUGGCGCAGAACAGCGGCUCCACCUCUCAUGACAUGAUAAUGCUCAAAAACAGGUUCCACAAGCAUGACAUUCACAUCAGGCUCUUCCCCAACCAGGUGAUGCGUUCCUUCCUCAGCAAGAGCAUCUACAGCAACAUGGCCCCUCUGUUCAUUGGGCCCACCGUGCUGUUUGUCAGCAAAGAGCCCAAGGUGAAGGAAAUGCUCUCCACGCUGCGGCUCAGCCCACAGAUGAGUCUUCUAGGAGCCUGCAUAGACAACACGCUGUUGAGUGCGCAAGGCGUGGCGAGCUACGCCAAGCUGUCGUCAGUCGCCGUGGUCCAGGGCGAGCUGGUGAGCGGCCUGAGCGCGCUGGCCUCGCAAACGGGCACCUUGCUGCAGCGACACCCCACCCACCUGACGGCGCUGCUGCUGCAGUACGCGGCGCAGCAGGCCCAAGCGGAGAAAGCCACGUGAAACGAGGACCGUCCUGGGACGUUCAGGACCCUUGCGCAGGCGAUUGAGGAACGGGCAUGCCGGUCUGCUGAGUUCAGAAGGACGUUCUGGUGCACUCAUCCUGGUGAACGAGCAUCCUGCAAAGUGAGUGACGUGCGCGUGGAAAGGGAUGACAAGCGCACCGGACCUGAAGAUUCUGGUCCCGCUAUAGUGGACCUCGUGGGGGCUCCUGACGGAC